UAUAUUGAGGUGUAUGGUGCACAUGAGUUUUUGAUACUUUGGGUGAUAGUUUAAUUCUAUCUAAUAUAA
rnacentral:tRNA from 1 species